CUACGGGACGCUCCAGUGAGGAAUAUUGCACAAUGGGGGAAACCCUGAUGCAGCAACGCCGCGUGGAGGAUGACGCAUUUCGGUGUGUAAACUCCUUUUAUGAGUCAAGAAAAUGACGGUAGCUCAUGAAUAAGCACCGGCUAACUCCGUGCCAGCAGCCGCGGUAAUACGGAGGGUGCAAGCGUUACUCGGAAUCACUGGGCGUAAAGGACGCGUAGGCGGGAUGUCAAGUCAGGUGUGAAAUCCUAUGGCUCAACCAUAGAACUGCACUUGAAACUGGCAACCUAGAGUAUGGGAGGGGGAGAUGGAAUUAGUGGUGUAGGGGUAAAAUCCGUAGAUAUCACUAGGAAUACCGAAAGCGAAGGCGAUCUCCUGGAACAUUACUGACGCUAAGGCGUGAAAGCGUGGGGAGCAAACAGGAUUAGAUACCCCUAUAGUC
rnacentral:rRNA from 1 species